UGAGUGGUCUGGAUGUGUCUGUGGGUAAAGAAAGGAACCACGGUUAGUCCAGGACGCAAGCUGCAGUAAAGACACCCACCUGAGAGCGCAAUAUCAGAAGAAACAAAGUCAUUGGAGCGACAUGAGGGAAGAAAAAAAACAAAAAAACAAAAAUUUAAGAGGAAGGCAGGAGCCAGGGCCGGGUGAGACAUGCCAGAACCCCACUGCACUGAACUCCCAUGGCCCAGACUGCUCACUUAGGGACCGCGUCUUAACCGGGAGUCCCAUCCACAGCUAUAACGCCACUUAGGGAGUGGAUCCCUGGAAUGAACUGACCCUAGGCGUGGCACUGGUAGUUGUGAAAAUAGAGUAUGGAUCUUUUGAUCGUGGCUGAUCCUCUCAGGCUGCGGCAAGGCUGGAGAGGGGCCUCGCCGUCUGCACCAUUAGGACUGUGAAAUUCCUGACAUUCAAAAGCAGCCACAGGUUAGAGGCCGUAUGGCAUGAGUUGUUGCACACUAUUCAGUGCUGCUUCUCACCUCACCCAGGCCUCUGUGUUGUGAUACCGUUAAAAACUAUAGUGUCUAUUAGCUUUUCAUGUCAGGGCAUCUUCACAUGGUGGUUUUUCAUUGCAGACACUGCAAGAAACUAAAGGGGAUCAUGAGUAGGCUCUUGAAAUCUCAGUCUGUCUCCUGUUCUAACCCUUGCUGCUCUUUCUGCUUAAGAUAAAGCACAGACUGUCAUUUUAAGGAGGAUUUUCGACUCAAAACCACCUAAGGGGUUGGAUUAUGUGGAUUGAGACAAUCGAAUCCACAUUAUUAGUUAUAGUUUUCUCAACAUUGCUGUGCAGAAAUGGGCUUAUUUGAAGAUAGAGCUCAAUUUCUGAGGUAAUCCAUCUCAAAGUCGCCUAAUGCCUUCAAACCAAACUAUGCUGAGAAAAUAAUCAAAUUGAAAGGACAUUUAAUCUGGAUCAUAAUGAUUGCACAUUAAUGUUGUAUAAAAGGAAUCAUGAUAUUGGAGUAAACACAAUGUUAAUAUUGAGCAACUUAAAUUUUAGACACAAUAUUGGAUGAUAAUUUGUGUAUUUUUGCAGUCAACAAAAAUGGUUCCAAAUGAGUCAACAGAAUUCUGCAUAUUCUUUUGUGAAAUCUGUUGUGAAUCUUAGCGCAAUACACACUAGUCUUUUUCCUGAAUGAUUCAGUUUUUUUAAUGAAUCAUUGGAGAUUUUUUUUUUCUGUCCUAUUUAUUAAGACACUAGCUGGGUUUGCAUACUAAGUAGGUACUACAUUUGAAUUAAAACAUACACUUUGUAACCGUAAAAAAAUUACAUGGCUUCAAUGACAUUUGCAACUACCAUGGCCUCAUGGGAUAGUAAAUCUUGGCGGAAGUAGUAGGUCACCUGGGUACUUUUUGCCUAUUGUUUCAUGAAUACUUAAUUGUCAUCUUGUCGCCACCUACUGGCGCAUGGAAAGAUUCACUAAAAAUCCCCAUGCCUUAAAGGUGGGGUAUGUACUUUUUCAAAAACACUUUAGAAAACUGAGUCGGGACCGAGUAACAAAACAAACUUGUAGCCAAUCAGCAGUAAGGGGCUUGUCUACUCAUGAUGCAGAGGAGAGAGCGCUCAGUGCACAUGACGGACAUUAGCCGAGCAACGACAGAAAGAUAGAGAUGGCGGAUAAAAAUAAAAAUAAAAAAAAGAGGAAAAUGUCUGCAGAACAAAAGAGGGCUUAUACACGGUGUCUACACCAGACGCAACAGCUAAAGUCUGUCUACACUGGACGCAACAAAGCAACCUUUGAAAAUCAUUUGAAAUUUGUGUCAAUACGUCAUAAAUGGAACGUGGCAGCAGUUUGCUGUCGGGGAUUCGUCGUAUUGAGCCAUGCCGCAUCAAGUGUAGACAGCAUCACUGAUUUUAAUGAGUUCUAUAGUAUUUUGUUGCGUUGCGCCGCUCGCGUCCGGUGUAGACACAGUGUUACGAUAAGGCAAGAAGUAGGACCCGUUUAAAUAUCGGAUCAGCUUUCCAGCGCUGGAGAGAACUCAAGGAGUGGGAAAGCGUGCGAUCGGACGCCGAGGUUGCUUUAUUUCUUCUGGAUAGGUGAGUAACAUUGGUUUUGCUUUGUUUCACAGAACUAAUCGUUGCCUGGGUUGCGUACGUAUGUGUGGGGCGGAGCUAUCAAAAUAGGGGCGAGACCCUUUUGGGGUAGGGGCGUGUUUGUUUUGGUGAUCAACAUUUGCUACCAGAAAUCACUUACCCCACCUUUAACUGUUGUAUAAUAUAAACAAUAUUUGUUGAUUUAUACAAGAGAAUUUUAAUGAAUUGCAUCAUGUUUCCUAUGAAUCUCUCAGAUUUCAUUUCAUCAUUUGAGUACUCUAACAAGGAUAUGAAAACUUCAAAAGGGCGCUCUUGAUGGGUCUGACAGCAGCUGAGUCCACAGUUGUUGAGUGAGGCGUGUGGUCACCUAGUAUUUGCCAAUAAGCAGAAUUGUCUUCUCAGUCACAUUGACAUGCCCAAACCCCCUCCUCCGGUGAAGGGUUUACGUCACUGUUUUCUGCUUGUUUAGCACCCUAUUGUUUGACCGGCUUUUAAUAAACCAAAGGGCAGAUUCCUGCUGGGAUCACCCCACAGUCCUCCUCCCAUGCCCAUCUGCAACCCAAGCAGCAUGCCAGGGGCACUGCCACCACACGCCGACGCCAGUAACCCACGUCUCCACACUA